ACCCGCUUAGCUCAGAGGUUAGAGCAUCACAUUUGUAAUGCGAUGGCCAUCGGUUCGAUUCCGAUAGCCGGCU
rfam:Nicotiana sylvestris Nsyl_contig94997, whole genome shotgun sequence.